rnacentral:lncRNA from 1 species
AGUAUGACUCUCAUCCCCAAACUGGACAGAUAUAUAAUAUGAAAACUACAGACCAAUAUUCCUUAUGAAUAUAGAUGCAAACAUUCUAAACAAAAUACUAGCAAACCAAAUCCAGCAGCAUAGAACAAGGUUUAUGUAGCAUGGACAACUGAGAUUAUCCCAGGAAUGCAAAGUUAAUUCAAUAUACAAAAGUCCAUUAAUACAACAUAUUAAUAAAGGACAAAACAACAUGAAAAUCUUGAUACAGAAGAAGCAUUUAACAAAACCCACAGCCCCUCCUUUUUUUUUUUUUGAUUAAAAAACACUCAGUAAACUAGGUUUAAUAAAAGAAUUUCCUCAACUUGAAGCAAACCCACAGCUAGCUAACAUCAUACUCAAUGGUGAAAGACUGAAUGCUUUCCCCUUAAAAUCAGGAACAAGAAAAAGAUGUCUGCUCUUGUCACUUCUAUCCAAUAUUGUACUGGAGGUGCUAGCCAGCACACUAAGGCAAGAAAAUGAAAUAAUAGGAAUCUAGACUGGAAAGGAAGAAGUAAAAGUAUUUCUGUUCACAGAUGCAUGAUCUCAUAUGCAAAAAAUACUAAGUGACAAAAAAAGAAUUUUAGAAAAGCUACAAUAUACAAAAUCAAUAUACAAAAAUUAAUUUUAUUUCUAACACCAGUGAUGAAUACAAAAAUAAAAAUUAGAAAAUAAUCAUAUAAUUAAAGUGGCAUCAGUAAAAUACUUAGAAAAAAAUUAAAGACGUCAAGACUUGCACACUGAAAUCUCUAAAACAUCACUGAAAUAAAGACCUAAGCAAAUGCAAAGACAUCCCACAGUCAUGGAACAGAAAACCUAACACCAUUAAAAUAGCAGUUAUUUCUCAAAUUUAUCUACCAAUUCAACUAAAUCCCUAUCAAGAUCCCAGCUGUUUUGCAGGAAUUGACACAAUGAUCAUAUAAAAAUUCAUAUGCAAUGCAAGGGACCCAAAACAGACAAAAUGAUUUUGGGGAAAAAAAAAAAAAAAAUGGAGGACUUGCACAUCCCAAAUCUAAACUUACUACCAAGCUACAGCCAUCAAGACAGUGCGGUGCUGGUAUAACGACAGACAUAUAGGGCAAUGGAGUAAGACUGAGAAUCCAGAAAGUCUUAUAUUUAUGGUCAACUGUUCUUUGACAAGGGUACCAGGACCAUUCAUGGGGAAAUAAUAGUCUUUUCAACAACUGGUGCUUGGGCAGAUGGAUAUACAGAUACCAAUGCACUUAUGCAAAAAAUGGAUGAAAUAGGAAACUUCACUACAUUCUACUGCAUGCUCGGUCAUUUUCAAUCAUUUAGGUGGCAACACUGACAAGAUAACAGAAAGAUGGAGGUAAUAACAUGUGAAAGGCAAAAUGGUUUGUUUUUUUUUUUAAAAAUGACAGUCUCUAUCAUGAAUUUACUUACACUCCAGGCAAAGGUUAUUAGAAGAAAAAAAGAUGUAAGAAAAUUCCUUAACUGAAAUGUGGAAAGAGUAUCAAGAGGAGACCCUAAGACACUCUGUAAGAAUCCCAGUGACUCCUCACUGUUCAACUAAGAAAUGUACCCCAUUAUGCUGUGCUACCACGGAAGCAUUGGAGGCACUUUGGGGGUUGAUGAAGUCUUCAUGGAUGAGGUACUUUAAAUAUCUGGUCAUGAAGAGUAUUUGAGAAAUAUGACAAGUGAAGAUGCUGGGUAGGAAUGCAGCGAGGAAAGUGUGUAACACAAGGCCAAAUUGGAAAGGUCAGUGAGGGGGCAAUCUGUGGAGGCACUGAAUGCAGAGGAUAUUAAAAUUAGCAAGAUAGUGUUCUAGCACAAUGAAAAGGAUUGGAAGAGGGAGAUGAGAGUCAGGGAGUGAAAUUAGGCAGCUGCUAAGAAUGUCCGGGUGAGUCAGAGGAUCAGGACCUGUAAGGGCAGUAUAAAGAAGGAAGGAAUGAUGGGAGAGGUUUAGGGGGAAAGAAGUGACAACCUGUGACAAUUGAGGAAUGAGAGAUUUUGAUGAUUGGGGUGAAGGUUACAUUUCUUAAAAAGAAACAAAGAAUGGUCGGUCGAUAGAGAUGCAAGAUGAAGAAUUUUGUUUUUAGGACUACUGACUAUGAGGUAACAAAGAAAUCCCAGAGACAGAGGUCUGAGCAAAAGAUAUGGGAUUGGGGAAGAAUCUUUGGGAGUGACUGAGGUUGACUAGAGGGAACUGGGCAAGAACAGGUAAGGACUUUAAGCAGAAUUGGAGGAGUAUCCAUCUAAAAUCUGGGUAAACUGGGAUGGAAAAACAAGUAGCCAGAGAAGCAACAGCCCAAGCUAGGGUGUUGUCAAGGUUAUAGAUGUUACUGAUUUUGGCAAUGAGGAGAUUAUAAGGAUCCUUGAAGACUGUACUUUCGGUGAAACUACCAUGCAUUAGUAGCCUUUCACAGUGAUAUCUACCCCACACCUGCAUCAAAAUCUUGCAGUGCCUAUUAAUAAAUGCCAACCCACUAACGGGGAGGGGAGAAAAGACUUGGGACUCUGUACUUGUAAAACCCUCUACCCUCCCCAGGCAAUUCUUUACACACUAACACUGUUGAGGUAAAAGGAGACAAGUGAGGGAGCAAAUGGAAGGUGUGUUUUUGGAUUAUACAGUGGCUCAUGGAAGGGUGGGAGGGGUACAGAUGGCCCUUAGACACUGGCGGAAAGUCAGAGAAAAAAAAUUACAGUAAGCAGGUAAAGGGAUCAAGACUACACAGGGACUAGUCUUGGGACGACAUUUCUUCCUCUGACAGUUUGUAUGGAAUUCUUGAGAAAAAUUCCUCGAAGGGGCCUGAAAUCUCAGAAUGGUCAUGUUUUUAAUGGGAAUAGGGAGUGAUGCUGCCCCAUUACAACCAUCUGUUCUAACAGAAUGUCUGUACCGAGGAGGGAUGAGUAACAUCGGCAAGUUCUGUUCGAAGCCUUUUUCAAGUUUCUUUUUGAUAUGUAUCUAUCUAUCUAUCAUCUCCCUAUACAAGCAAGCAUCCCCAAAAGUAGUUGUCUCAGGAAACCAGGGUUAGGAUGACCAGCUCAUUUGCUGGAGCUGCCAAGGUCCAGAAAAGUUUGGCUGCAGGCUGUUUUCAUGUUUUAUGUAUGUUUGAAAUGUUCUAUAAUAAUAAAAGGUUAAAAAAGUUUACAUUUAUUUGGAAAACCAGUUACUUUAGUUUAUGGUUCCUUUUUUUCCCUCCAGAGCUUCCUGGAGAUUGAGGUCUAAUUCAAAGAAAACCAAAAUAUAUAAUAGAGUACCUGGGCAAAAAAAGUACUUUUAUAACAUAACAUUUGGGGUAGAGGAAGUAUCCACUGUAGUCAAAAUGUCUAUGUUUUGCUCUUCCUUAUUGUUCAGGGACAUUCCAUUAAAUAGUAAUGAAAAGGCAGCAAAAGUAAGAGGAGUGACAACAUGCCCGGCAUAAUUAAGCAAGCUAGAGCAGCUAUUCUGUGCAACCGACGAUUUUUUUUCUCUAAAAUUUUAAGGGUAGGUUCAUUCUGACUCUGUUAAAAGUCUACUUGAUGUGAACAACUCUAUAUCUGAUAACCUAUUUCAAUUACCACUUUAAAACUUGUCAUAUGGAUACGUUAUUACAAUUGUAGAACUUUAAUAAAUACCAUAAUAAUAAAACUUGAGAACUGAAGAGCACACAUUUCUUCACGAAUUUAUUAUAUAAAACGCCCUCAGAGUAUUUAAUUUCUCCUCACUUUAAU